AAGGACACCUCCACGCCAGUGUGUGCAAAGCUGGAAAGCUGUUUAGGAUUUUGCAGCCUAUCGGGGUCAUCGUUUUCAGACAUCUAUUAGCGCCACAUUGCAGUCGCGUGAGAGGCUCACUUAAUAAAGAUUUCUGGUUGAUAGACUGCAAAGAGCAAACGGGCUUUUGCACCAUUUCUUUUGAAUUGCUACUGAGCUAAAAAACAAUACUCGGUCCAUUUUUUAUCAUUUUGCAAACUGAACACACAUUCUCCCUCUUUUCCAAACACCUUCUCCCCAACAGUUUUGGAAAAUAAAUAUGGUGUUUCUUCCUCUG